rnacentral:rRNA from 1 species
GACGUAGGAGGCGAGCGUUAUCCGGAUUCAUUGGGCGUAAAGAGCUCGUAGGCGGCUGUUCAAGUCGAACGUGAAAACUCGGAGCUCAACUCCGAGCCUGCGUUCGAGACUGGAUGGCUAGAGUCUGGUAGGGGGAUCUGGAAUUCCUGGUGUAGCGGUGGAAUGCGCAGAUAUCAGGAGGAACACCGGUGGCGAAGGCGGGAUCCUGGGCCAGUACUGACGCUGAGGAGCGAAAGCGUGGGGAGCAAACAGG